GACGAACCGAGCGAACGUUAUUCGGAAUCACUGGGCUUAAAGGGCGCGUAGGCGGGCGAUCAAGUCAGGGGUGAAAGCCUCCAGCUCAACUGGAGAAGUGCCUCUGAUACUGACCGUCUCGAGGGGGAUAGGGGCAUGCGGAACUUCCGGUGGAGCGGUGAAAUGCGUAGAUAUCGGAAGGAACACCGGUGGCGAAAGCGGCGUGCUGGAUCCCUUCUGACGCUGAGGCGCGAAAGCCAGGGGAGCGAACGGG
rnacentral:rRNA from 1 species